rnacentral:rRNA from 1 species
AGCGUCGGUAAGGUGAUAUGAACCGUUAUAACCGGCGAUUUCCGAAUGGGGAAACCCAGUGUGAUUCGUCACACUAUCAUUAACUGAAUCCAUAGGUUAAUGAGGCGAACCGGGGGAACUGAAACAUCUAAGUACCCCGAGGAAAAGAAAUCAACCGAGAUUCCCCCAGUAGCGGCGAGCGAACGGGGAGCAGCCCAGAGCCUGAAUCAGUGUGUGUGUUAGUGGAAGCGUCUGGAAAGGCGCGCGAUACAGGGUGACAGCCCCGUACACAAAAAUGCACAUACUGUGAGCUCGAUGAGUAGGGCGGGACACGUGGUAUCCUGUCUGAAUAUGGGGGGACCAUCCUCCAAGGCUAAAUACUCCUGACUGACCGAUAGUGAACCAGUACCGUGAGGGAAAGGCGAAAAGAACCCCGGCGAGGGGAGUGAAAAAGAACCUGAAACCGUGUACGUACAAGCAGUGGGAGCCUCUUUUAUGGGGUGACUGCGUACCUUUUGUAUAAUGGGUCAGCGACUUAUAUUCUGUAGCAAGGUUAACCGAAUAGGGGAGCCGAAGGGAAACCGAGUCUUAACCGGGCGUUAAGUUGCAGGGUAUAGACCCGAAACCCGGUGAUCUAGCCAUGGGCAGGUUGAAGGUUGGGUAACACUAACUGGAGGACCGAACCGACUAAUGUUGAAAAAUUAGCGGAUGACUUGUGGCUGGGGGUGAAAGGCCAAUCAAACCGGGAGAUAGCUGGUUCUCCCCGAAAGCUAUUUAGGUAGCGCCUCGUGAAUUCAUCUCCGGGGGUAGAGCACUGUUUCGGCAAGGGGGUCAUCCCGACUUACCAACCCGAUGCAAACUGCGAAUACCGGAGAAUGUUAUCACGGGAGACACACGGCGGGUGCUAACGUCCGUCGUGAAGAGGGAAACAACCCAGACCGCCAGCUAAGGUCCCAAAGUCAUGGUUAAGUGGGAAACGAUGUGGGAAGGCCCAGACAGCCAGGAUGUUGGCUUAGAAGCAGCCAUCAUUUAAAGAAAGCGUAAUAGCUCACUGGUCGAGUCGGCCUGCGCGGAAGAUGUAACGGGGCUAAACCAUGCACCGAAGCUGCGGCAGCGACACUGUGUGUUGUUGGGUAGGGGAGCGU